rnacentral:rRNA from 1 species
CCUACGGGUGUCAGCAGUGGGGAAUAUUGGGCAAUGGGCGCAAGCCUGACCCAGCAACGCCGCGUGAAGGAAGAAGGCUUUCGGGUUGUAAACUUCUUCUCUGAGGGACGAAGAAAGCGACGGUACCUCACGAAUAAGCCACGGCUAACUACGUGCCAGCAGCCGCGGUAAUACGUCGGUGGCAAGCGUUAUACGGAUUUAUUGGGUUUAAAGGGGGCGUAGGCGGCAUGUCAAGCGUGCUGUGAAAUGUCCGGGCUCAACCCGGGCCUUGCAGCGCGAACUGGCGUGCUUGAGUCCGAGGAAGGCAAGCGGAAUUCGUCGUGUAGCGGUGAAAUGCUUAGAUAUGACGAAGAACCCCGAUUGCGAAGGCAGCUUGCUGCAGCGGAACUGACGCUGAUGCUCGAAAGCGCGGGUAUCGAACAGGAUUAGAUACCCGGGUAGUC